rfam:Myotis davidii contig30586, whole genome shotgun sequence.
GGCAGUUCUCAGGUGACACACCCAGAUUUAGGUUCCCUCCUCUAUGGUUCCAGGUGCAUCACCUGAGAACUGCA